rnacentral:misc_RNA from 1 species
UACGGACCGGACAAACGUUAUUCGGAAUUAUUGGGCUUAAAGGGUGCGCAGGCGGCCUGGAAGGUGGGAAGUGAAAUCCCUCGGCUCAACCGAGGAAUUGCUUCUCAAACCACUAGGCUUGAGUAGGACAGAGGUGAGCGGAACUGAUGGUGGAGCGGUGAAAUGCGUUGAUAUCAUCAGGAACACCGGUGGCGAAGGCGUCUCACUGGGUCCUUUCUGACGCUGAGGCACGAAAGCUAGGGUAGCGAACGGG